rnacentral:rRNA from 1 species
UACGGAGGGUGCAAGCGUUAUCCGGAUUCACUGGGUUUAAAGGGUGCGUAGGUGGGUUCGUAAGUCAGUGGUGAAAUCUCCGAGCUUAACUUGGAAACUGCCAUUGAUACUAUGAGUCUUGAAUAUUGUGGAGGUCAGCGGAAUAUGUCAUGUAGCGGUGAAAUGCUUAGAUAUGACAUAGAACACCAAUUGCGAAGGCAGCUUACUACCCGAAUAUUGACACUGAGGCACGAAAGCGUGGGGAUCAAACAGG